CCCUUAGAUGUCCUGGGCUGCACGCGCGCUACACUGAUGUGUCCAGUAAGCACCUAACCUCUUCCGAAAGGAACGGGUAACCUUUGCAAAGCACAUCGUGAUGGGGAUAGAUUAUUGCAAUUAUUAGUCUUGAACGAGGAAUUCCUAGUAAGCACAAGUCAUCAGCUUGUGUUGAUUACGUCCCUGCCCUUUGUACACACCGCCCGUCGCUACUACCGAUUGGAUGGUUUAGUGAGGCCCUCGGAUCGGCCCCGCCGGGGUCGGCCCACGGCCCUGGCGGAGCGCUGAGAAGACGGUCGAACUUGACUAUCUAGAGGAAGUAAAAGUCGUAACA
rnacentral:rRNA from 1 species